rnacentral:rRNA from 1 species
CCAGACUCCUACGGGAGGCAGCAGUGGGGAAUAUUGGGCAAUGGGCGCAAGCCUGACCCAGCAACGCCGCGUGAAGGAAGAAGGCUUUCGGGCUGUAAACUUCUUUUAUGAGGGACGAAGGAAGUGACGGUACCUCAUGAAUAAGCCACGGCUAACUACGUGCCAGCAGCCGCGGUAAUACGUAGGGGGCAAGCGUUAUCCGGAUUUACUGGGUGUAAAGGGAGCGUAGACGGUGCAGCAAGUCUGGAGUGAAAGGCAGGGGCCCAACCCCUGGACUGCUCUGGAAACUGUUGUACUUGAGUGCAGGAGAGGUAAGUGGAAUUCCUAGUGUAGCGGUGAAAUGCGUAGAUAUACGGAGGAACACCAGUGGCGAAGGCGGAUUGCUGGACAGUAACUGACGCUGAGGCGCGAAAGCGUGGGGAGCAAACAGGAUUAGAUACCCCAGUAAGA